GUCUGGAUAGCUCAGUGAUUUAGAGCAGUUGCCCGAAAAGCAAAAGACUCGGAUUCGACUCCCGAUCCAGCCA
rfam:Camponotus floridanus CamFlo_1.0_1.contig6370, whole genome shotgun sequence.